rnacentral:rRNA from 1 species
GAUCCGCGUCGCCUGCUCGACCAGGCGUACGCUUAUGGGUGCCUUUCCGCAGCUUGGAACGCGGAUGGAGAAGAGGAGCAACGCGAUCU